UUAAUAGAAAAUACAAAUUUUUGGUUUCGGCCCAAAAAAAGAUAGAACCCUAUCCUGUUAGU
rnacentral:tRNA from 1 species